rnacentral:rRNA from 1 species
UAAGGAAUAUUGGUCAAUGGACGCAAGUCUGAACCAGCCAUGCCGCGUGGAGGAUGACGGUCCUCUGGAUUGUAAACUUCUUUUCUCUGGGACGAAACCCCCGAUUUCCAUCGGGCCUGACGGUACCAGAGGAAUAAGCACCGGCUAACUCCGUGCCAGCAGCCGCGGUAAUACGGAGGGUGCAAGCGUUAUCCGGAUUCACUGGGUUUAAAGGGUGCGUAGGUGGGCAGAUAAGUCAGUGGUGAAAUCUCUGGGCUUAACCCGGAAACUGCCAUUGAUACUAUUUGUCUUGAAUUCUCUGGAGGUAAGCGGAAUAUGUCAUGUAGCGGUGAAAUGCUUAGAUAUGACAUAGAACACCCAUUGCGAAGGCAGCUUACUACGGAGACAUUGACACUGAGGCACGAAAGCGUGGGGAUCAAACA